GUAUUAAAAUUCUCAUCAUUAGAAUGAUUGGGAACCGCAAAAGAAUGCAGCCAAAGAAUAACUUGGGAUCAUAGUACUGGUUUAGUGUUGUGUUUUUGAACACAUCUCCCACUGGCCAGCCUCCAAAUUCCCAGACACAC